rnacentral:lncRNA from 1 species
CAGAAAAACGAACGACCCAACAAGAUACUGUGCACAACAUACGUGGAAAAAAUUGGAGAAGCCAGGUUCGUGCGUUGCAUUUUGAUGUUCGAACCGAAGAAAGAAAGGGAACUGCAUAAUAUUUCACAAGAAUACACUCAAGAGAGGAAAGGAUGUUACACACCACAUCUCAUUCCUAGAGCUGUGCCUACUGUCUUUCCUGGACAUCCUCCCUAUAAACAGACCCAUGGCUCAAGACUCCCAUCAAAACCAUGUACAACAUCCGAAAGUGUUCCCGUGCCUCCAAAGAAACCCUAUGACAUUACAAAAGAACAUGACUAUUCUUUUUCUGUCUGAGUUGAUUAGAAACUGAAUAUAACCAGACAGCAAGUGCAGGAUGCCAAGAAACAGCUUAAAGUGGUGAAACAAGGUAAACAGGAGAGAUGGAAAAACCAGGACUCUCUUGCAGGAAGUCCACGAAAGCAAGCUCAUUAGCCAGGAUCAGCUUGACCUACUUCAACACAACUUUGGAGAGAAC